GCCGUCGUUCAUACUGCGUCUAAUGCACCGGAUCCCAUCUGAACUCCGAAGUUAAGCGGCGCAAGGCCCGGUUAGUACUGCG
rnacentral:rRNA from 1 species